rnacentral:rRNA from 1 species
UGGCGGCAGGCUUAACACAUGCAAGUCGAACGGUUGUAGCAAUACAGCAGUGGCAGACGGGUGAGUAACACGUGGGAACCUUCCUAGGGGUACGGAACAACUCAGGGAAACUUGAGCUAAUACCGUAUACGUCCGUGAGGAGAAAGAUUUAUCGCCCUUAGACGGGCCCGCGUCGGAUUAGCUAGUUGGUGGGGUAACGGCCUACCAAGGCGACGAUCCGUAGCUGAUCUUAGAGGAUGAUCAGCCACACUGGGACUGAGACACGGCCCAGACUCCUACGGGAGGCAGCAGUGGGGAAUCUUGGACAAUGGGCGCAAGCCUGAUCCAGCCAUGCCGCGUGAGUGAAGAAGGUCUUCGGAUUGUAAAGCUCUUUUACCAGGGACGAUAAUGACGGUACCUGGAGAAUAAGCCCCGGCAAACUUCGUGCCAGCAGCCGCGGUAAUACGAAGGGGGCUAGCGUUGUUCGGAAUUACUGGGCGUAAAGCGCACGUAGGCGGGUCGUUAAGUCAGGGGUGAAAUCCCGGAGCUCAACUCCGGAACUGCCUUUGAUACUGGCGAUCUUGAGAUCGGAAGAGGUGAGUGGAAUUCCCAGUGUAGAGGUGAAAUUCGUAGAUAUUGGGAAGAACACCAGUGGCGAAGG